AUAUCAAUAAGCGGAGGAAAAGAAACCAACAGGGAUUGCCUUAGUAACUGCGAGUGAAGCGGCAAAAGCUCAAAUUUGAAAUCUGGCGUCUUUGGCGUCCGAAGUGUAAUUUGGAGAGGCAUCUUCGGUGAUGGCGCUGUCCUAAGUUCCUUGGAACAGGAUGACAUAGAGGGUGAGAUCCCCGUGCCUGGGUGACUGUCCAUCUCCAUGUGAAGUGUCUUCGACGAGUCGAGUUGUUUGGGAAUGCAGCUCAAAAUGGGUGGUAAAUUUCAUCUAAAGCUAAAUAUUGGCGAGAGACCGAUAGCGCACAAGUAGAGUGAUCGAAAGAUGAAAAGCACUUUGAAAAGAGAGUUAAAAAGUACGUGAAAUUGUUGAAAGGGAAGCGCUUGAGACCAGACUCGAUUUGUGGUGAUCAGCUGUGCUUCUGUACAGUGCACUUGCCACAGAUUGGGCCAGCAUCGGUUCUGACGGUGGGAUAAAAGGGUGAGGAAUGUGGCUUCCUUCGGGGAGUGUUAUAGCUUCGCUCACAAUGCCACCAGUUGGGACCGAGGACCGCGCUUCGGCUAGGAUGCUGGCAUAAUGGUCUUAAGCGA
rnacentral:rRNA from 1 species